GGGAGAGGGAGACAGGUUGGUGGGGAGAGAAGAGUGGCAGGGAGAGGGAGACAGGUUGGUGGGGAGAGAAGAGUGGCAGGGAGAGGGAGACAGGUUGGUGGGGGAAAGAAGAGUGGCAGGAAGAGGAAGACAGGUUGGUGGGGAAAGGAAGGUGUCAGGGAGGGGAGACAGGUUGGUGGGGAGAGAAGAGUGGCAGGGAGAGGGAGACAGGUUGGUGGGGAAAGAAGAGUGGCAGGGAGAGGAAGACAGGUUGGUGGGGAGAGAAGAGUGGCAGGGAGAGAGAGACAGGUUGGUGGGGGAAAGGAAGGUGUCAGGGAGAGGGAGACAGGUUGGUGGGGAGAGAAGAGUGGCAGGGAGAGGGAGACAGGUUGGUGGGGGAAAGAAGAGUGGCAGGGAGAGGGAGACAGGUUGGUGGGGAGAGAAGAGUGCCAGGGAGAGGGAGACAGGUUGGUGGGGGAAAGAAGAGUGCCAGGGAGAGGGAGACAGGUUGGUGGGGAAAGAAGAGUGCCAGGGAGAGGGAGACAGGUUGGUGGGGAGAGAAGAGUGGCAGGGAGAGGAAGACAGGUUGGUGGGGGAAAGAAGAGUGGCAGGGAGAGGGAGACAGGUUGGUGGGGGAAAGAAGAGUGCCAGGGAGAGGGAGACAGGUUGGUGGGGGAAAGAAGAGUGCCAGGGAGAGGGAGACAGGUUGGUGGGGGAAAGAAGAGUGCCAGGGAGAGGGAGAAUGCGUGGAGGACAAAGGAGAGGAAGACCAAUAGCGAUGGUCUCAGAUAAGGGCCACAAUUACUGACCAUAUUAUAAACCAUGGUCUCUCUUUGAGAGGCCGGUUUAAGGGUGCAACCAAAUCUGCAGCGUGCAACAGUUACAUCAAUAGUGCAACAGGUGAGAUGUGUGUCCUUCAAUGAUAAUUGAACUACAUAUUACAGUACAAUACAGUAUGUUCAUAUUUUUUUUAUAUAUAUAUAUAUUUUUUUUUUUUUACAUGUACUGACAUUUUGAAAUAUAUUGAUUGUUUUGUGUUUUUUCCAGUAGGAUCCAAAGGUUGCCUCCCACAGGAGGGAGAGGCAGAAUAUUAUCAGAUGGGCAGGAAAUUGCCAUUGUUGACAUUAUAAUUGGCAACAAUGCAAUAAAACGGAGGGUGCUGGCAGACAUUAUCACUGUUGGGAAUGUGAAUACGGUCAGCUCAACGACAGUUGCCUGAGUCCCAGAGAAACAUUAAAUAAGGAUGAAGCAGUUGUUCCCUUUGAGAGAAACGGGGAACGUGUGAAUGAACUCCGGUAUCAAUAUGUCCAGGUAAGAUGUCUGUUUAAU
ensembl:lncRNA